rnacentral:rRNA from 1 species
GACGAACGCUGGCGGCGCGCUUAACACAUGCGAGUCGAACGGAAAGGCCUGCUUUUCCUUGUGGAGUGCGGGUACUCGAGUGGCGAACGGGUGAGUAACACGUGAGUGAUCUGCCCCCAACUUGGGUAUAAGCCUGGGAAACUGGGUCUAAUUCCCGAUAGGACCGCAGGGUGGUGUCUGUGGUGGCAAACGAUUUUCUAGUGGUUGGGGAUGGGCUCGCGGCCUAUCAGCUUGUUGGUGGGGUAAUGGCCUACCAAGGCGGGGACGGGUAGCCAGCCUGGGAGGGUCGACAGCGGAAUUGAGACAGGGAUCCGGCCCAUACUGCUGCGGGAGGCAGCGGUGGGGAAUCUUGCACAGUGGGCGGAGGCCUGCUGCAGCGACUCCGCGUGGGGGAUGACGGCCUUCGGGUUGUAAACUCCUUUCGACCGCGAGGAAGCCACCUGGUUGGAAGGGUGGUGACGGUAGUGGUAGAAGAAGCACCGGCUAACUACGUG